AGCUCUCUCUAAGAGGAGACACAGGACGAAGACUGAGGCCGUUUAUGAGGAGAUUCAGCACAGACUCACUAACAGACAGAGUCUCUUCACUCAGAGGGGAAGUGUCCUUUCUGAAGAACAGCAUUCUGGGUAUGAAGACGCUGAUGAGCUUCUUUCAGCAAAAUCUGCAGAAAGAGCCAAACCUGAAUACCAUAAUGAUUUCUCCAGCACUAAAGGCCCAACAGGUGAG